AAAGCUGUGCACAUUUCAGGCUGCAGCUGUCAGCAGCAGGAACUUCUGCUGCUUUCAUUUGAGACGGAGCACUGACAAGCUCUCCAGAGCACAUGGUCUUCAGCGGGUGCAGGCAAAUCUCAAACUGCUGAUGUCCAUUCUCCUGAUGUUACCUCCAGGCUCAAAUGAGGCAUGGGCUGGCUGUCCCAUCGGUCUUGGCAGCUGUCGUAAUUGCCAACCUGAAAGGGAUGUUUAUGCAGGUGUGUGACAUUCCUCGUCUGUGGAGACAAAAUAAGAUUGAUGCUGUUAUCUGGGUGUUUACGUGUAUAGUGUCCAUCAUUCUGGGGCUGGAUCUCGGUUUACUAGCUGGCCUUAUAUUUGGACUAUUGACUGUGGUCCUGAGAGUUCAGUUUCCUUCUUGGAAUGGCCUUGGAAGCAUCCCUAGCACAGAUAUCUACAAAAGUACCAAGAAUUACAAAAACAUUGAAGAACCUCAAGGAGUGAAGAUUCUUAGAUUUUCCAGUCCUAUUUUCUAUGGCAAUGUCGAUGGUUUUAAAAAAUGUAUCAAGUCCACA
rnacentral:sRNA from 1 species